CCCUCUAACUUCAUUCUAUUUAAACACUAGCUUCUAACCUUCAAACUAACACAGUUUUUGCCUAAAAUCACUUUCCAUAAUGACUUUUUAAGCCAUUCCUUCUACAUUCUUUCAAAUCAUUUUUGAAUCCUAAAGUUAGAAUGGCAAAGUCACUUUUCAACAAUCAUUCUUCACAACAUUGAAUCACUUUCUAAACUAUUCUCUUCUACAAUGAUCUCCUAAAUCAUCAUCCACCAUUUUCUUCUAAAUUACUUUCUUCUACAUUCAUCAAUUAUUGCAAAAAAGCUCAAGAACAAUCAUUAUCAUUUCAACCUGCAUUACCUAAUACAUUCGAUCAUCAUUUAACAAAUUCUCAAACAUCAUGAACAAUCACCAAUCAAUUUUCACCUAAUCAAGCAAGCUAGCAUAUUGGGGGUUUCCCUCUAAUCGAUUCAACGAUCAUCAUUAUUCAACAAAAUUCAUAUUCAUGUAUUAUACAACAUCACCAUAAAUUCAAAAAUUUCAAAGAAGCAUUCAAAAGGCAAAAAAUCGAAGAAUCAAGUAUACGCGAUAAAAGGCGCUUACAUAUGGGUGCUUGUGGAUGGCAAGUUGCUUCGAUGUCUUGUGGAGUUGGUCAUGUGGCAGGCCUGCUUCUGAGGUUUGCACGAAAUGGCCUAUUUGGUUGCCAUGGUUGAUGGUUUUUAAUUGAUGUGCUUAAAUGGUAUUGUAUGGCAUGUCAAGCUGUUAGGAUGGUACAAACGUGAGGGAUAUGGCUUACACUUGAAGAAAGCAAUAAGUCAAGUACAUGGAAUCAUGGUGGAUAAAAAAGGAUUAGGAACAAGAAUUUAGGGUUUGGGAUGUAGGAUGGGUCAGUUGACUUUGGUCUACUAGUUGACCAAAAAGUCAACAAAAGUUAACUUAGGUAAAAAUUGUCAAAUUUUGUAAUUUUCUCUAUGUAUCGACAUUUGAUGGUGUAAUGUAUGAAUGUUAUGAUAUUUAGUUUAUAAAAUGAAUGAGAUUCAAAUUUAAAUGAA